GGGAAUCUCCAAAAGAGGAAAGAGUGUGUCGUGUUCUCUGGAUGCAUUGACUUCAGAAAAUUUUUCUGCAGCACAGCUAUUAACAAUUCUCCUUAACUUUUAGUGUUCCUGAAAUACCAGUUUGGGACUUUGGCCUUGACCAAAUAGGUAAACUUGCCCAGAUUUGUAAAAGGAUCAUUAAUCGACAUUAAACAAUUUUAUUUUGAGAAAAUUAAAGACUCACAGAAAGCUGCAAAAAUAGUACAGAAAAGUACUGUGCACCCUUUACCCAGCCACCUCUAAUGGUAACACAUAUGACCAUAGUAUAAUAAUACCCAAACCAAGAAGCUGACAUUGGUACAAUCAACAGACCUCAUUCAGAUUUUAUUAGAUUUCCCAUGCAUUCCUGUGUGUGUAUGUGAGUGUGUAUGUAGUUCUAUGUCAUUUUAUCACAUGCAUAGAUUCAUGAAACUACCCUAAAAUCAAUUCAAAACUAUUUCAUUACCAACCACAAUGAAACCCCCUCAUUCUAACUUCCUCUCGGGUCCCUAAAUUCUGACAACUAUUUUUUUUUUUUUUUUGUCUUUUUGCUAUUUCUUUGGGCCGCUCCCCCGGCAUAUGGAGGUUCCCAGGCUAGGGGUCGAAUCGGAGCUGUAGCCCCUGGCCUACGCCAGAGCCAGAGCAACUCGGGAUCUGAGCCGCGUCCACAACCCACACCACAGCUCACUGCAACGCCGGAUCACCAACCCACUGAGCAAGGGCAGGGACCGAACCCACAACCUCAUGGUUCCUAGUCGGAUUCGCUAACCACUGCGCCACGACGGGAACUCCCAUAGCUAGGCUUUAAACUUGGCAAUCUGACUCUCCUCUAUGUUCUUAACUGCUCUAUUAUAUGACCUCUCUCCCAUGCUGUACAAUCUAGAGAAGCACAUUGUCCAUACUCAGGACUAAAAGAAAUAAGUACAACCUGGAAGGAAAGGGGAUGCCCAUCUAUAGAGGAAAACUAAGAAUUUCAACUUACCCAGAAGUGGUGCCCACUGAAUCCACUUGUAGCUCAUUUCUGAGAAACAUUAAGUUUAUAGCUUAGUGACACCUCCGGGUAGGAGUUACCCUCUAGGUCAUAUCCAACAUACACAGGGUGAAAUUUACAUCAUACAACUAUUACAGUUUUACCUUUCCAACCUCCCUGUCUGCUUUCCUGUAGUUGGCAGCAAUAAAGAGCCUUUAAAUCAGUAGGUGUAAGAAGGAAAAAGAAGCUGAAGAGAGAUUUAUUCCUAAAGGCAUUCUUGAGCAGAACCCAAAGGGAAAUUUACAGAUAUUAUUAUAGAGGAUGAAAGCACGGAUUGGAAGUCUAAUAGGUUUGGUGUUAACUCUACUUUUUUCACUUAUGUGACCCUAUGCAAGUUGCUUAGCCCCUGUAAUCCUCAGCUUUCCUAUCUAUACAAUGGGACUGUUACCUGACUGCUUCAUAGAAUAAUUGCAAGGCUUAAGACUUUAUCAAGCACUUAGAGUGUUUGGCAUGCAAUAACCAUUCAAAUUAAAAUUUUAUUGCUAUAGUUAGGAUAACUGAGUUUUAUUUGGCAAUCCUAGGUAAAGAUACCAUGAUACUAAAGAUAGUAAUGUUGGUAUUUUCUCACCCCGGUUUGUCUGUCUUCAAGGAAGAAAAUUUUUCUUUCAUGGAUUUCAGGUCACUCCUCCUAUUUCUGCCUUGGAUUGUCUCUCCCUAAUCAGCUCUAAACUGAUUCCUGGUAAACACCUACCUGCCUGCAUCAUCCCUAUAUCUUCAGUCGUUGAAGGUCAUUUUGAAUUUUUAUUUAUUCCUCCAAGGAGUGAGUGCACUACCAAGUAUGUUGCCUACACCAAAGUCUAUGACAUGAACUUUUUUCUUUAGUAAUUUUGAAUAGAACUGGUCCAUUUCUAGACUCCUGGCAUGCAUUUAUACGUAAGAUAGUGAUUUACAAACUAUUUCUAGUGUGGAUUGCUUUCCUCACUACCUCCUCUAGUUUUUGCUUGUUUGUUGUUUUGGGGGCGGCUUUUUUUGGCUACACCUGUGGCCUGUGGAAAUUCCCAGGCUAGGGAUCAAACCCAGGCCACAGCAGUGACCCAAGCUGCUGCAGUGAAAACACCUGAUCCUCAACACACUACACCACAGGGAAUUCCAGGCUCCUCUAGUUUUGGCCAGGGUAGAAGUCAAGACAGAAAUUUUUUUGUCGUGGUUUCUAAAAAAUGUACUUUUGGUGAGGAAAUUCAUUUGUAAGAAUUGCUUGCAGAAAUUUUACCGAACACUAGAGGUGAAAGGCAAUGAAUGAAUGACAUACCAGAUGGUAUCUACUUAGAACAUUUUCAUCACACCCCAUAGGAAAUGAAAUUCGAGGAAAGUAAAAAUCUUUCUGGUAAUAUUUUCCUUAAACUGUUACCACUAUUUACAACUUUAGGUAAAAUAUUACAAUGUUAGAACUGCUGAAAUUGGUAUUAACUCACACCAGCCUGUCUUGCUUUAAGGGAGAAUGUCCCUUUCAAUCCAAUAAAAAUAAGGUUUAUGGGCUAAGAUGCAUUACUUAGAAUUAUUUAGGUGUAAUUCAAGUUUUAAUGGAGUUUGUCAGUCCUUGGAUUGAAAGACAAGUAAAAAAAAUGCACCGGUGCAAAUAUUUAAAUAUUUUUUCACUAUUUUUGGCUAGGUUCAGGGUGCUAGGAAAACAUUUUACCAAGUGUAAUAUACUUUUAAAUAUUGGAAAAGUUGUAUUUUCACAGCAUAAUUAAUGUGUCAUAAUUAAUGUCAUAAUUAAUGUGUCAGCAGGUUGUUGGAAAUGCUUUUGCAGGAAGGAAGACUACAGCUGUAUUUAAUUAUGCUGAAGCACUAGAGAAAGAAUGUAGCUCUUUAAAAAAAUCUCUAGAUGAUGAGAUUUUGUGAAAAUGAAUCCUGACUUUCCUGCAAUUGAAUCUAUACUAAAUGAACAAUCUCUAAACAGCACAUGAGAAAGUAUCAGAAAAUGUCUCUAGCUUAGGUUGAUUUUCUGAACACCUAUUUUGGAAAUAAGUUAGAUCUUUUCGAAUGUUAUGUUUAGGUUUGCUUAGCUUGUGUUAUUAAAUAUUCUCAAUAGUAUAAUUAUUAGUGAUAAAAGUAAAUUUAUAAGACCCAACAAAACAAGUGCUAUGUAUUAAAACUACAUGUUUGGAGAAAUAUUAACCCAACAAUUUGAUUUUUAUUUAAAGACUUUUUCAUGAGAGAGCAAGAACUUGCAAAUAGUAUUGGCAUACCUCGAUUACCAUAAUAUUUAUAUGCAAAAAGAGAAUGUUAAUUGUUUUAUUUGAUGCAGAAACACUUAUUUCAUAUUAAGUAUGGCUUAAAUAUCUGUCUUAAUAUUAUCAUCUUUCUCAUAGUAAACAAAAUGUAUUUGUGUAUAGUAAAGUGCACUUGAGUCAAAGUUUCAUUUAUUCAGGGCAGAUAAAAAUAUUCUUAUCCAUCGAAAAUGAAUUCAGUGACUUAAAAAAUAGCAGAAUUGGUUGAUGUUGAAGAUCUUUUGCUUAGCUUGUCUUCUCUAUCCAGUAACCUGUUUUGUGAUAAUUUUCCUGAUGGUACUUUGUGCCUAAGGAAAGGUGGAAGAGAGAAUACCAGGUGACAUUUCUCAUCCAAUUUUAGCAUGUGUCUUGAUAUUUUCUAUUUAAAAUCAUACUAAUGCCAUUUAUAAAACAGUGUAUAAGAUGACUGACAAACUUAAGGAAAAACUAUAAAGGAAAUGAAUAAACAAUUUAGAAAAACAUUUUUAUAUGAUCUUAAUCUUUUUGCUAAUAAAUAUGAAAAACACUCAUCUGUAUAACUAAUAAAAAGAUGAAACUUAAAAUAGAUGUAAAUUAAAAUAAGUUAACUGCUAUUUACCUGUUUUGUUGGUGAAAGUAAAAUAUAAAAAUUCCCAUCAUUGUGCUAUGCCCAGCCAUGUGCUGCAAGUAAAGAAAAUGCCCAUCCACAUGCUGCAAGUGGAAAGGGAUAAUGGUCCAUACACAUUUUUAGGAAUAUGAUUUAGCAAUACUUAAUAAAAACUUUCAAAAUGUGUGUACUCUUUCACCUAGAAAAUCUUCAAGAAAUUUAUCUUGAGGAAAUAAUAGUGAGCAAAAACAAUUGUAAAAGUGUUCAUUUUGGUUUUGCUUACAAUACUGAAAUGUCUGAAACAAUUUAAAUGUUCAAAAAGGGGGGUUUGGUUUAUAAGCUAUUGUUCAUUCAUACAGUUGAAUAAUGUAAAGGCAUUUAAAGUAAUAAUGUAGAUCUAUCCUGACAUUGAAAGAUAGGUAAGAUAAAUUGUUCAAUGAAAAGUUCUCAAAAGUAUGGAAAUGUAUGUAUAUAUACAUAAAUUAUGUAUAGUACACCAAAAUACUGGUAGUGGUUAAUCUAUAUGCAAUGGAGUUAUAGGUACUUUAUAGUCAUGAUUUUUGUAUUCCAAAUUUUAUAUAAUGAUCAGAAGUUACUGUUGGAAUCGGAAAAGAGAUAGCGGGAGAAACAGGAACAUUUUAGAAUUAUAGACAAUUAUGUGGAGCUUACAGAAACAUAGGGAAUUGUGUAGGUGCUAUAUAGGCACGUCUUUGAGCUAUGCAUUAUUAGAAGCUAAUUUUUAAAAUAAUAUAUGAAGAGCAUACACACAAGCAUUGUUCCCUUCCAGUGAUGACCUUACGACUAAGUAAUUAUUCCAGUUAUGCUGACACUAACAGAAUGUUAAAGAUGAUCUACUUCUUCAUUUUAUAGGUGAGAAAUCUUGGGCUCAUUGCAUCUAAAUACUUUCCCAGGUCACAAAACAACUAGGUAAUGAGAAGCCCACAAAACCAUGCUGCUUUCCCUUUCCAUUUUUUCGGAUAAUUAU
rnacentral:lncRNA from 1 species